rnacentral:lncRNA from 1 species
AAAAUAUGUUGCCAAAUUUUAAUCGUAUUAUUAUUACAAGGUCAUAUUCGAACUUUGAAGAAAGCACGUUAUAGCAUGUGAUGUCAUUGUAUGUCGAAAAUUUUUCAUUGUCAGCAUUUUAAAUAAAUGGUUGCUAUCGGCAACGUUUUUGUUUCAGGUUAGUAUAAAGGACGUGAUAUGCUAAUGCCACGUUGAUUCUUUUAUUGUUAUUGAGUAAAUUCUGUUAUAUUACAUUAAAAUUAAAUCAUGACGUCAUACGUUUUAACCUGAGGUGUCAAAGUUUUUGUUUCUUGGGUUGGCAAUGAAAGAUUAUUUAGGACCUGGUUGUUGCUUGGAAAGAAUGAACUCAUUUCAUUCAUAUUGGAAAUGUUUUUAUAUAUUUACUUUCCAGAGCUGCAGAGAACUUUUAAAUUUUGCUUUGUCAGCAGCCCGCUAGUUCUGUCUUAAAAUUUGAUCGAUGAAUUGAGAACAUUUGGAGAUGCAAAGUUUUCAUUAUGACCUCAAGCUCAAAUAUUGCUAGUAUAAAUUCAUUUCUGUAAGAUAAUUAAAAAUACGGAAUAAUUGAUUUUAUGAAUUUUGUUGAUCUUAGUUUCAGUCAACUUGUAACAUAACUUUCCAUCUCGAAAUCUAUACCUAAUUUAUAUCUUAAUCGCAAGCAAAUAAUUAAAUGUAUUUUGGAAAAAUAACUGAGUAAAUUCGGAAUGCAUUCAUUUAACAGGGUAACUGGAUGAAUGGUACAAGUUGUGACAGCCGAGAACGAAGCAACGUGUGUUUUAGAAUAUUCGGAAGGUCCUUCGGUAUUCUUUAUUUCGGCACUUGCGUACUGGCACGUUGACUUCCAAGGGGCUUCGUAAAUUUAGGUCGUUUGAAAACUUUCUACUAUUACAUUGCUGAUUGAAGAACUUUUAUCUUUGCACGAAACACUUGAUUUCUGAAACGGUUCCACGUAACCUGUGCCGGGAAAAUGAAGCAUAAGAAUUGGAUUCAAGAUUCAUUACGAUGUAUACCUUCCCAAUGUUAGUACGUCUCUUAACCAUGUCCGACGAAACUGCUAUUUCUGGGAAUUCUAUUCGCUUUUUUCUUUUUAUUGAGAGUGUGCUUUCUUUUUAUUGAGAGUGUGCUUUUCUUUUUAUUGAGAGUGUGCUUUUCUUAUGGAUUAAGUGUGCUCGAUGCAUCGUGCUGUGAUAUGAAUAGUGAAUUGUGUAGACUCUUUUAAGGAUAUUGGACUCUUCAUGUCAAGUUCUUCGGGUCAUGUGUUCUCCGGGGUAAGUGAGAUAUCUUGUUUGCAAAUAGAGUUAGUUUACCAAUUAUAAAUCCUUUUGUAAAUUAAUAAUAUAAAAAUUGAAAUUUCUGGCAUUGAUAAUGUUAAUAAUUGCGACUUUCAAAACCCAAUAAAACGGACGAGUGAAUUAACCUUACUAA